CUCCUUGGCAGCUGGAGCUCCCUAAGGGGAGGGCGGUGUCUUAGGAGCUGGGAGAAGAGAGUGGAAUCUUUUAGCAGCCGACACAUACCCAGUGACUCCAAGGAAUCUCCCAUCCCGGCACAGAAGUCUGACCCAAUUUGCUGGGCUCUUCUCCUGAGACCCUCUGGUUCCAGCUACAAAUCUGAGGCAGGAGCAUCCUUCUCAGUGGCUGCAGCUAGGAGUGCCUCACUCAGGAUGUCCACUCCAUGGAAAAGCCCAGCUCCACCACAACAUCUCCAGGAAGUGUUGGCCAAUACUUCCGAUGGGAAGGACCUCUCACCACCUCUGCUGUAAUACCACACCAAAUUUUAGGACCUUGGAAAAGAUGUAUCUUACUUGACUGGCAGAAGCUAUGACUCCAUUCAGAUGCCAUAUGUUGGAAAUUACGGGAGUUCAAGAUGCAAUGAACCUGGAUUCCUGAGUCAUCCUUGAAGAAGAAUCUUCCAAAAGAGUCCUGCCAACCAGGAACAGCUACAGAGGACUUUGGGCAAGAAACAAACUCUCAUUAGGUUAAACCACUGAGAUUUUUCCUGACCAAAACAUAAAUUUAGGACUAAAUCCUAAAUUAGUGGUAUUAGUGGUAUGAUGUUGGAAAAAUUACUUACUAUAUUUAGGUUUAAGAUAAUUCAUCAAUAAGAAAGGGUCAAGAGAACCUACAUUUGCAGGAUGGUUGUAAGAAAUAAAGA